UGUAUACCUUUUGGCAGUGUUGUAAGCAUAAUUCACCUUAGUUACACUUCAAAAUUUUAUGUUCUAUUUUAGCUUUUUACUUCUAUUAGAGUAGUUCAAGGUAUAGGUAACCUUAAAUCUGUCCACUUUACAAUUAGCUGCCACUGUUUAAAACAUUUAACUAAUGGAAAUGAAAUUUUGAUUGACAAAUCUAACUCAUACAUAUAUACAGUAAAAUCUCCAGGAAUGACUACCUCUAUGUAGCAAUCACCUUUAGUUAUGUUAACAAAGCUAAGAUUAAAAUGUUCUCAGAUCUUUUUUAUACAACCUCAUGUUGCUGUCAGAGUGUACUAAAGACUAUGGUAUGAAUGAUUUUCUUUUAAGAGCUGAAACUUAAAAUAGUUAUUUUAGAAAAACAGUCAUCUCAAAUAAACAAACCUC